UUCUGCCCUAUGAUUCUUUAAUUAAAUGGCUGCAGUAUUUUGACUGUGCAAAGGUAGCAUAAUCAUUAGUCAUUUAAUUGUUGACUUGUAUGAAUGGAUAAAUGAGGGAUUAAUUUUUUUGGUUUUAUUAUUAAAAUUUUAUUUUUAAGUAAAAAAGCUUUAAUUAAUUUUUUGGGACGAUAAGACCCUAUAGAACUUUAUUGUAUAUUUUUUAUUAAUUACUUUUAGUUUUUCUUGUAUUAAUAGAUUUUAUAUUUUUUUGUUGGGGUGACAAAUAAAUUUUUAACUUUAUUUUAUUAAAUCAUUAAUUUUUGAUUAUUUUGAUCCAUCAUUUAGAUUAAAAGAUUAAGUUACCUUAGGGAUAACAGCGUAAUUUUAAUGGGGAGUUCAUAUUUAUAUUAAAGUUUGCGACCUCGAUGUUGAAUUAAGAUAAGUUUGAGGGGUAG
rnacentral:rRNA from 1 species